rnacentral:misc_RNA from 1 species
GCAUGCCACGGACAGCAUGCUCAAUGAUUCUUUCUGGAAUUCUCUGUUGCAGUUGAUCAAAAGUCUCUACUGUCAUCCCACCUGGUCUGCCGGAGUGCCUCCUAUAAAGUUUUUGGCUCCUCUUCUUCCCAGAUACAACAACCUUCUCAGCAUUAACCACUAUGACAAAUGCACCCAUAUCAACACUUGGAGUGUAUGUAGCCAAAUUCUUCCCUCUCAUAUGUAUGGCUAUAGUUGAUGCCAUUCUUCCAAGAAUUUUAUCACUGGCAUCAAUAAUAUACCAUGGUUUAUCAGUGUUCACAUGGUCAGCAGCCUUGGGAUACCAUGUCUCAUUCCAAAUGUCAGGGCCAUCGAUUUCAGAUUCUUCAAACAUCCAUCGCUGGUCAAGAGGAAUAUAUGCAGCUUUGUCUUGGCACCGAAUUUGAGCGGUCCGAUUGUUCCCGGAAAAGGUUAAUGACGACGGCGCUGCCAUGGAAAAACCCAGAAAUGGGGUUUUGUUAGACAACGAUUUCGGUGAAGGGCAAGUGAACAUUAACGAACAAUAGUAGUGAACUGCCAUUCUUUGUUACUCUCUCUUUAGCUCCAAGUAGAUAAGGG